AUCGAACGCUGGCGGCAUGCCUAACACAUGCAAGUCGAACGGCAGCACGGGUGCUUGCAGCUGGUGGCGAGUGGCGAACGGGUGAGUAACACAUCGGUACAUGUCCUGUAGCGGGGGGUAGCCCUCCGAAAGCCGGAUUUAUUCCGCAUAAGAUCUUCGGGCGACAGGGUGGGCCCUUCAGGGUUUCCGCGGUUGGGGUUGUCGAUGGCUGAUCAGAUGGUUGGGGGGGGAAAGGCCUAUCAAGGCGACGAUCAGUAGAUGAAGUGAGAGGGGGACCACCGACACUGGAACUGAGACAGGGCCCAGACUCCUACGGGAGGCAGCAGUGGGGAAUGGUGGGCAACGGGGGAGAGUCUGAUACAGUAAUGGCGCGUGUGAGACGAAGGCCUUCGGGUUGUGAAGCACUCUUGUCCGGAGAGAAAUGCUUGGCCCUAAUACGGGCGGGGGAUGACGGUACCGGAAGAAUAAGCACCGGCUAACUACGUG
rnacentral:rRNA from 1 species